AUGUCUCUUCCAUUUCUUUCCACUCACAGUCCAUUUGCCAGAAUUAAUCACAUGGUCCUGCCUAACUGCAAGAAGGGCAGGGUACGCAGGAAGAAGAAAGGAACCAGAUUUGAUCUCAUGUGUUUUGGAUGAAGUUACUUCUAAGUAAGUUAAAUCUUUUCUAUUGUUGUUACAGUAAAAGUUAGCUUUAUUUCUUUAUUUUUUCAUUUCAUAUUCAAAUUAACUAUAGCUGGUGGAUUGAAAAAGUAUUUAAAACAUAUUUGGUAUAUGUGUGUGUGUGUGUGUGUGUGUAUAUAUAUAUAUAUAUCAAAACAAGUGAUAUAAGCAGUAAAUUUUAUUCAGAGGAAGAAGUCAGUACAGGCUCCCAUAGUUGACUAAAGGUAUAAGAAAGAUAAAGUACUUAAAAAUGGACAGAAAAGAUAGGGCUAUUUGUGAAAAUUCAGGGCAAACAAAUGUAGAAAUGAGCAAGGUGUAUUCAGGCUCAGUGAACAAAACACCUAACUUUGUUAAUUCUUGGAGGUAGUUAAGGUUAGAAAGUGGUAAGAUUGUGGCAAACCUUGGAUGCUAGAUAAGGGCAAUAAUUCAAACAACAUUAUAGUCACA
rnacentral:lncRNA from 1 species